rnacentral:tRNA from 1 species
GGGCCUGUAGCUCAGUCGGUUAGAGCAGGGGACUCAUAAUCCCUUGGUCCCGGGUUCGAGUCCCGGUGGGCCCA